UUAAGCGACUAAGCGUACACGGUGGAUGCCCUGGCAGUCAGAGGCGAUGAGGACGUGCUAAUCUGCGAUAAGCGUCGGUAAGGUGAUAUGAACCGUUUAUAACCGGCGAUUUCCGAAUGGGGAAACCCAGUGUGUUUCGACACACUAUCAUUAACUGAAUCCAUAGGUUAAUGAGGCGAACCGGGGGAACUGAAACAUCUAAGUACCCCGAGGAAAAGAAAUCAACCGAGAUUCCCCCAGUAGCGGCGAGCGAACGGGGAGCAGCCCAGAGCCUGAAUCAGUGUGUGUGUUAGUGGAAGCGUCUGGAAAGGCGCGCGAUUACAGGGUGACAGCCCCGUACACAAAAAUGCACAUGCUGUGAGCUCGAUGAGUAGGGCGGGACACGUGGUAUCCUGUCUGAAUAUGGGGGGACCAUCCUCCAAGGCUAAAUACUCCUGACUGACCGAUAGUGAACCAGUACCGUGAGGGGAAAGGCGAAAAGAACCCCGGCGAGGGGAGUGAAAAAGAACCUGAAACCGUGUACGUACAAGCAGUGGGAGCACGCUUAGGCGUGUGACUGCGUACCUUUUGUAUAUGGGUCAGCGACUUAUAUUCUGUAGCAAGGUUAACCGAAUAGGGGAGCCGAAGGGAAACCGAGUCUUAACUGGGCGUUAAGUUGCAGGGUAUAGACCCGAAACCCGGUGAUCUAGCCAUGGGCAGGUUGAAGGUUGGGUAACACUAACUGGAGGACCGAACCGACUAAUGUUGAAAAAUUAGCGGAUGACUUGUGGCUGGGGGUGAAAGGCCAAUCAAACCGGGAGAUAGCUGGUUCUCCCCGAAAGCUAUUUAGGUAGCGCCUCGUGAAUUCAUCUCCGGGGGUAGAGCACUGUUUCGGCAAGGGGGUCAUCCCGACUUACCAACCCGAUGCAAACUGCGAAUACCGGAGAAUGUUAUCACGGGAGACACACGGCGGGUGCUAACGUCCGUCGUGAAGAGGGAAACAACCCAGACCGCCAGCUAAGGUCCCAAAGUCAUGGUUAAGUGGGAAACGAUGUGGGAAGGCCCAGACAGCCAGGAUGUUGGCUUAGAAGCAGCCAUCAUUUAAAGAAAGCGUAAUAGCUCACUGGUCGAGUCGGCCUGCGCGGAAGAUGUAACGGGGCUAAACCAUGCACCGAAGCUGCGGCAGCGACGCUGAUGCGUUGUUGGGUAGGGGAGCGUUCUGUAAGCCUGCGAAGGUGUGCUGUGAGGCAUGCUGGAGGUAUCAGAAGUGCGAAUGCUGACAUAAGUAACGAUAAAGCGGGUGAAAAGCCCGCUCGCCGGAAGACCAAGGGUUCCUGUCCAACGUUAAUCGGGCAGGGUGAGUCGACCCCUAAGGCGAGGCCGAAAGGCGUAGUCGAUGGGAAACAGGUUAAUAUUCCUGUACUUGGUGUUACUGCGAAGGGGGGACGGAGAAGGCUAUGUUGGCCGGGCGACGGUUGUCCCGGUUUAAGCGUGUAGGCUGGUUUUCCAGGCAAAUCCGGAAAAUCAAGGCUGAGGCGUGAUGACGAGGCACUACGGUGCUGAAGCAACAAAUGCCCUGCUUCCAGGAAAAGCCUCUAAGCAUCAGGUAACAUCAAAUCGUACCCCAAACCGACACAGGUGGUCAGGUAGAGAAUACCAAGGCGCUUGAGAGAACUCGGGUGAAGGAACUAGGCAAAAUGGUGCCGUAACUUCGGGAGAAGGCACGCUGAUAUGUAGGUGAAGUCCCUCGCGGAUGGAGCUGAAAUCAGUCGAAGAUACCAGCUGGCUGCAACUGUUUAUUAAAAACACAGCACUGUGCAAACACGAAAGUGGACGUAUACGGUGUGACGCCUGCCCGGUGCCGGAAGGUUUAAUUGAUGGGGUUAGCCGCAAGGCGAAGCUCUUGAUCGAAGCCCCGGUAAACGGCGGCCGUAACUAUAACGGUCCUAAGGUAGCGAAAUUCCUUGUCGGGUAAGUUCCGACCUGCACGAAUGGCGUAAUGAUGGCCAGGCUGUCUCCACCCGAGACUCAGUGAAAUUGAACUCGCUGUGAAGAUGCCAGUGUACCCGCGGCAAGACGGAAAGACCCCGUGAACCUUUACUAUAGCUUGACACUGAACAUUGAGCCUUGAUGUGUAGGAUAGGUGGGAGGCUUUGAAGUGUGGACGCCAGUCUGCAUGGAGCCGACCUUGAAAUACCACCCUUUAAUGUUUGAUGUUCUAACGUUGACCCGUAAUCCGGGUUGCGGACAGUGUCUGGUGGGUAGUUUGACUGGGGCGGUCUCCUCCUAAAGAGUAACGGAGGAGCACGAAGGUUGGCUAAUCCUGGUCGGACAUCAGGAGGUUAGUGCAAUGGCAUAAGCCAGCUUGACUGCGAGCGUGACGGCGCGAGCAGGUGCGAAAGCAGGUCAUAGUGAUCCGGUGGUUCUGAAUGGAAGGGCCAUCGCUCAACGGAUAAAAGGUACUCCGGGGAUAACAGGCUGAUACCGCCCAAGAGUUCAUAUCGACGGCGGUGUUUGGCACCUCGAUGUCGGCUCAUCACAUCCUGGGGCUGAAGUAGGUCCCAAGGGUAUGGCUGUUCGCCAUUUAAAGUGGUACGCGAGCUGGGUUUAGAACGUCGUGAGACAGUUCGGUCCCUAUCUGCCGUGGGCGCUGGAGAACUGAGGGGGGCUGCUCCUAGUACGAGAGGACCGGAGUGGACGCAUCACUGGUGUUCGGGUUGUCAUGCCAAUGGCACUGCCCGGUAGCUAAAUGCGGAAGAGAUAAGUGCUGAAAGCAUCUAAGCACGAAACUUGCCCCGAGAUGAGUUCUCCCUGACCCUUUAAGGGUCCUGAAGGAACGUUGAAGACGACGACGUUGAUAGGCCGGGUGUGUAAGCGCAGCGAUGCGUUGAGCUAACCGGUACUAAUGAACCGUGAGGCUUAACCUU
rnacentral:rRNA from 1 species